CUUGCUUCUCUUGAGAGCGGCGGACGGGUGAGUAAUACCUAGGAAUCUGCCUGGUAGUGGGGGAUAACGUCCGGAAACGGACGCUAAUACCGCAUACGUCCUACGGGAGAAAGCAGGGGACCUUCGGGCCUUGCGCUAUCAGAUGAGCCUAGGUCGGAUUAGCUAGUUGGUGGGGUAAUGGCUCACCAAGGCGACGAUCCGUAACUGGUCUGAGAGGAUGAUCAGUCACACUGGAACUGAGACACGGUCCAGACUCCUACGGGAGGCAGCAGUGGGGAAUAUUGGACAAUGGGCGAAAGCCUGAUCCAGCCAUGCCGCGUGUGUGAAGAAGGUCUUCGGAUUGUAAAGCACUUUAAGUUGGGAGGAAGGGCAGUAAAUUAAUACUUUGCUGUUUUGACGUUACCGACAGAAUAAGCACCGGCUAACUCUGUGCCAGCAGCCGCGGUAAUACAGAGGGUGCAAGCGUUAAUCGGAAUUACUGGGCGUAAAGCGCGCGUAGGUGGUUCGUUAAGUUGGAUGUGAAAUCCCCGGGCUCAACCUGGGAACUGCAUUCAAAACUGACGAGCUAGAGUAUGGUAGAGGGUGGUGGAAUUUCCUGUGUAGCGGUGAAAUGCGUAGAUAUAGGAAGGAACACCAGUGGCGAAAGCGACCACCUGGACUGAUACUGACACUGAGUGCGAAAGCGUGGGGAGCAAACAGGAUUAGAUACCCU
rnacentral:rRNA from 1 species